rnacentral:rRNA from 1 species
GACGUAGGGCGCGAGCGUUGUCCGGAUUUAUUGGGCGUAAAGAGCUCGUAGGCGGCUUGUCGCGUCGGCUGUGAAAACCCGCGGCUCAACUGUGGGCGGGCAGCUGAUACGGGCAGGCUGGAGUUCGGUGAGGGGAGACUGGAAUUCCUGGAUGUGAGCGGUGAAAUGCGCAGAUAUCAGGAGGAACACCAAUAGCGAAGGCAGCUCGCUGGGACGGUAUUGACGCUGAGGCGCGAAAGCGUGGGGAGCAAACAGG